GAUGAACGCUGGCGGCGUGCUUAGCACAUGCAAGUCGAACGGAAAGGCCACAGCUUGCUGUGGUACUCGAGUGGCGAACGGGUGAGUAACACGUGGGUGAUCUGCCCUGUACUUCGGGAUAAGCUUGGGAAACUGGGUCUAAUACCGGAUAGGAAUCACAUGUGGGUGUGUGGUUGGAAAGCUUUUGCGGUAUGGGAUGAGCUCGCGGCCUAUCAGCUUGUUGGUGGGGUAAUGGCCUACCAAGGCGUCGACGGGUAGCCGGCCUGAGAGGGUGUACGGCCACAUUGGGACUGAGAUACGGCCCAGACUCCUACGGGAGGCAGCAGUGGGGAAUAUUGCACAAUGGGCGCAAGCCUGAUGCAGCGACGCCGCGUGGGGGAUGACGGCCUUCGGGUUGUAAACUCCUUUCGUCAGGGACGAAGCGAAAGUGACGGUACCUGGAUAAGAAGCACCGGCUAACUACGUG
rnacentral:rRNA from 1 species